rnacentral:rRNA from 1 species
GUCGAGCGAGUCUGCCUUGAGAUCGGAGUGCUUGCACUCUGUGAAACAAGAUACAGGCUAGCGGCGGACGGGUGAGUAACACGUGGGUAACCUGCCCAAGAGAUCGGGAUAACACCUGGAAACAGAUGCUAAUACCGGAUAACAACAGAUGAUGCCUAUCAACUGUUUAAAAGAUGGUUCUGCUAUCACUCUUGGAUGGACCUGCGGUGCAUUAGCUAGUUGGUAGGGUAACGGCCUACCAAGGCGAUGAUGCAUAGCCGAGUUGAGAGACUGAUCGGCCACAUUGGGACUGAGACACGGCCCAAACUCCUACGGGAGGCAGCAGUAGGGAAUCUUCCACAAUGGACGCAAGUCUGAUGGAGCAACGCCGCGUGAGUGAAGAAGGGUUUCGGCUCGUAAAGCUCUGUUGUUGGUGAAGAAGGACAGGGGUAGUAACUGACCUUUGUUUGACGGUAAUCAAUUAGAAAGUCACGGCUAACUACGUGCCAGCAGCCGCGGUAAUACGUAGGUGGCAAGCGUUGUCCGGAUUUAUUGGGCGUAAAGCGAGUGCAGGCGGCUCGAUAAGUCUGAUGUGAAAGCCUUCGGCUCAACCGGAGAAUUGCAUCAGAAACUGUCGAGCUUGAGUACAGAAGAGGAGAGUGGAACUCCAUGUGUAGCGGUGAAAUGCGUAGAUAUAUGGAAGAACACCGGUGGCGAAGGCGGCUCUCUGGUCUGUUACUGA